UACGGAGGGUGCAAGCGUUAUCCGGAUUCACUGGGUUUAAAGGGUGCGUAGGUGGGUUGGUAAGUCAGUGGUGAAAUCUCCGUGCUUAACAUGGAAACUGCCAUUGAUACUACUGAUCUUGAAUUUUCUGGAGGUAAGCGGAAUAUGUCAUGUAGCGGUGAAAUGCUUAGAUAUGACAUAGAAUACCAAUUGCGAAGGCAGCUGGCUACGCGAAUAUUGACACUCAGGCACGAAAGCGUGGGGAUCAAACAGG
rnacentral:rRNA from 1 species